rnacentral:miRNA from 1 species
UACCUCGUCGGCUGGAAGAAACCCUUCCGGUCGACGAGGCACAUGUACCUCGUCGACUGGAAGGAUUUCCUUCCAGCCAGCGAGGUA